AUGGCUCAGAUUGAACGCUGGCGGCAUGCUUUACACAUGCAAGUCGAACGGCAGCACGGGGGCAACCCUGGUGGCGAGUGGCGAACGGGUGAGUAAUGCAUCGGAACGUGCCCAGUUGUGGGGGAUAACCAGUCGAAAGAUUGGCUAAUACCGCAUACGACCUGAGGGUGAAAGCGGGGGACCGAAAGGCCUCGCGCGAUUGGAGCGGCCGAUGUCUGAUUAGCUAGUUGGUGAGGUAAGAGCUCACCAAGGCGACGAUCAGUAGCUGGUCUGAGAGGACGACCAGCCACACUGGGACUGAGACACGGCCCAGACUCCUACGGGAGGCAGCAGUGGGGAAUUUUGGACAAUGGGCGCAAGCCUGAUCCAGCCAUGCCGCGUGCGGGAAGAAGGCCCUCGGGUUGUAAACCGCUUUUGUCAGGAACGAAACGGCGCUUGUUAAUACCGAGCGCUAAUGACGGUACCUGAAGAAUAAGCACCGGCUAACUACGUGCCAGCAGCCGC
rnacentral:rRNA from 1 species